CACGCCGUAAACGAUGGAUACUAGCUGUUCGGAGCAAUCUGAGUGGCUAAGCGAAAGUGAUAAGUAUCCCACCUGGGGAGUACGCACGCAAGUGUGAAACUCAAAGGAAUUGACGGGGGCCCGCACAAGCGGUGGAGCAUGUGGUUUAAUUCGAUGAUACGCGAGGAACCUUACCAAGGCUUAAAUGUAGAUUGACAGGACUGGAAACAGUUUUUUCUUCGGACAAUUUACAAGGUGC
rnacentral:rRNA from 1 species